UGUGUCUGUGUAUUCCAUUCUAAG
rnacentral:piRNA from 1 species